rnacentral:rRNA from 1 species
UACGUAGGCAGCAAGCGUUGUUCGGAGUUACUGGGCGUAAAGCGUGCGCAGGCGGUGAUGUAAGACAGUUGUGAAAUCCCCGGGCUCAACCUGGGAACUGCAUCUGUGACUGCAUCGCUGGAGUGCGGCAGAGGGGGAUGGAAUUCCGCGUGUAGCAGUGAAAUGCGUAGAUAUGCGGAGGAACACCGAUGGCGAAGGCAAUCCCCUGGGCCUGCACUGACGCUCAUGCACGAAAGCGUGGGGAGCAAACAGG